rnacentral:rRNA from 1 species
UACGUAGGGUGCAGGCGUUAAUCGGAAUUACUGGGCGUAAAGCGUGCGCAGGCGGUUUCUUAAGUCAGAUGUGAAAGCCCCGGGCUUAACCUGGGAACUGCGUUUGAAACUGGGAGACUUGAGUGUGGCAGAGGGGGGUGGAAUUCCACGUGUAGCAGUGAAAUGCGUAGAUAUGUGGAGGAACACCGAUGGCGGAGGCAGCCCCCUGGGUUAACACUGACGCUCAUGCACGAAAGCGUGGGGAGCAAACAGG